GAUAUUACAAGUGGACUUUCAGGUGGGAAUCUCAAUAAUUGUAACACCAAACUCUGACAGAAUUACUCAAUUCAUCAGGACCUGGAUAUUCACAUUAUAUUUCCACAAUUUUACUUCUGCACUGUUCUUAGUCUUUCAGAGGGAUCGAAAGACUGAGUUACAGAGCUAUACAAUGCCUGUCCUUCCUCCCUGGCUCUCCCACCUCUCUUUCAGGAGUUUUGUGCAAACACUGACUGGAUCCCUUACCUGGAGGAUAUUUAUUUAUGAAUUUGUUCUAAUGAUAAUCCAGCAUAUUCCCCAAGUAUCGCUCCACAAAUGUCCAGAGGAUUUCUCAGUUCCACAAUCUGUGUGUGUUCUUCUGGUUCCUCGCUCACUGCACUUGCUUUCUGUUUGAAAGCUUAGUCUACAGUUAGAGAAUUCAAACAGGAACACAUCCAGAUCUGACAGUCACUUUGUUUAUCACAACUCAAUUACCUAAGGAUUUUGAACACUGAAGGAAAAAGCAGUUCUCACAGUGGGGAGAAAUGCACAUGAUCUGUGAAGAUUCAUCUGAAAUGUCCUUACACCAGCUCAGUGACACGGGGGAGAGACCAUUCACCUGCUCUAAAUGUGGGAAAGCAUUCACUCAGUCAUCCAAACUGUUAACACACCAGUGAGUUCACAAAGAAGCACAGUUGAAGGAUUUUGCUGUCACUCUCACUAUCAAAUGAACCAUGGUUUUGGGCUGUUUGUACUGAUGUUACUGAUCCCUGUUCAAUUAAAGGUACUGGUAUUGUGGAUAAAA